CACACACAAUCAGUUAAUGACCCACACUAACAAGCAAACUGAGCAUAGCACAAGAAUUAAACCACCUGGCAUGGCACAUAAUAUGAAAAUGACAUAUAAUGUGUCAGUCACAAUAACGCCACAUAUUAGUCAAAGUAGAACACUAAUUUUCAUAGAGAUGAAAGCAACACCAUCUUCUGUAGAGCUAAGAAAAACUAUUUCUGAAUUGGUGACACACCGAUGGAACUUGAUGCACAAUCUGAUUAGAUUGUUUGUGUUGGUGGAAACAGAGUUUACAAACAUUUUAUAUUUCUAGUUGAAUGGUAAUAGAAGCCCAAAGGACUUCUGUUGUCAGUCUUACCAUCUGAUGUGUGAAAUAACACAAUCAUUUGCUGAUCACAGUAAAUUUAGGUGAUCUCUGAAGAUUGCAAUUUAACUUCUUAAGCUCCAUUUGCAGCUUUUUCUUAUACAUGUUUCUUUCCAACCUGAAACUUAAUCAUUCUAAAUAUGGACUGAAUGUUUUACUCACAUGAUAGUGACCCUCUCUGUAGAAGACCAUUAUAAAAUAUACAGCUCCAACUUCUUUACUUCCUCAUCAUGCAAAGGACUAGUUCUCUUUGCCUUAGUUAUGGAGUCUGACUCACACAGUCUGUGGGCCAGUUCUCUUCACUGUCUAUCUAAUAAUAAAUUAUUGAUUUGAAAUGAAUUCAUAUUAAAUUAAGUUUUAAUUGAAAGAAAAUUAAAUGUGAAAUGAAUUAAAAGCGGAGCAUGAGAAGUUCUAAACAGGGGCCAACAGGGUCUAGAGCCCCUAUUAUGUCCUCUGUACUGAACAAAUAAUACCAAUUCAAUUUCUUAUGAUAAUAUGUGUCGGCAAAGAACCCAUAAUUGAUACCUUGGACUAUUUUCAUUUUUUCCCUUCACAGUUUUAUUCUAACUAUGAAGUAAAGGUAAAUUGCACACCAUUACUGGGUUCCACAACUUCAUAUUUUUUAAAGUCAACUACAACGUGAUAAAAAGUCGAGUCAUUGUCAACUAGUUGCAAUGACGUCAUAGCAACGAAACUGAAAACCUACAUGCUUUAUUAGGUUUAUUCACGGUAAAUAUUGACAAAAAAGGCUCUUGUACUAAGUUUAUUAUGCAGAAUUAUAAAAACAAGAAGCAGAAGCAUUAUCCCGCACUUAUGCGCCAGCAGCGGAGAAGAGGUGGUCCGACAAAUUGCACAAAGUCGGGUUUGAUUUUGAAUUAUUUUCUCUUUUCACUGCUAAUAAUGGCUAUUCAAUUCAAUGAGCUGAAUGUCUGAAACAGGUGCUGAUGAUCUGAUAUGCUCACAUCGGAUAGCUGCACUGACAGGAGUCAAAUUAUUACAUUGACCACAGUUAUACGAGAUCCAGACGCAGAUGAAAGCCAGAGGCCAGGAUCAGAGGCGGAGCUGGAGCCGGAGCCAGAACCAGCCGGUGUGGGGCACGUCAGUUGCUUGACAAGGUGUGGGAGCCAGCUCCUGGUUUGGAUGGACCACAUGUGGAGGCGUCGCUUGAUCAGACCUGGGAGCAGAGGCUGAGACCUGUGGGGGCCAACCAGUCCAUGACUGAGGGAGAUCUGCACCAGAUGGAGGUCCAGGCCGAAGGUGCACACCCCAGUGUAACAGUUGUAACAGGUGUAACUGCUGCACACUACCCCUAAACAAUCACUUUAAUAAUAAAUGCCUCUGGGCUUAAAAUGUUUCUUGUUGUGUGUCAUCCCAUUUUCUUGUUGCAGUCAUCAGAGGGGCCAACAGGGGCUCCCAAUUUAUGGCUCCAAGUUCAUCUUCUUGGAAAAAUCAGUUUUGUCACAUAAUUGCAACUAGUCGACAAAAAUGUCACAGAAGAGUAAAGAAUCGACUAGUCGAUUGUUGAUGCAAUCCCUAAGUCAUACUGAGACAGGAUCACAGUUUUCAUCUGCUGGAUCUAGGGUCUGCAAAUUGCAACUCCGGAGCCAAAAGUGGCUCUUUGGCUCGCUUAACAUACUAAAUGCUCCUCCAUUGCUCUUUUUUUUUUUCUUUUUUUUUUGUUGAGUGUUCCCAUGGUCCUACCCUGGAUUCCAAGGUAAAUUUGCAUUUUAUCAUCAUCUUUGUCUUAUUUUCACUUAAUUUCAA